ensembl:snRNA U1 U1 spliceosomal RNA
AUGCUUACCUGGUAGGGAAGACACCAUGAUCAGGCCGGUGGUUUUCCCAGGGUGAGGCUCAUCCCCUGCUCCAGCUGUGCUGACCCCUGCGAUUUCCCCAAAUGUGGGAAACUUGACUGCAUAAUUUGUGGUGGGUGGGGGACUGUGUUUGUGCUCUCCCCUG